rnacentral:rRNA from 1 species
UACGUAGGGGGCUAGCGUUGCUCGGAAUCACUGGGCGUAAAGCGCACGUAGGCGGAUCUUUUAAGUCAGGGGUGAAAUCCCGGGGCUCAACCUCGGAACUGCCUUUGAUACUGAGAAGCUUGAAUCCGGGAGAGGUGAGUGGAAUUCCGAGUGUAGAGGUGAAAUUCGUAGAUAUUCGGAAGAACACCAGUGGCGAAGGCGGCUCACUGGACCGGUAUUGACGCUGAGGUGCGAAAGCGUGGGGGAGCAAACAGG